AACGAACGCUGGCGGCAGGCUUAACACAUGCAAGUCGAGCGCCCCGCAAGGGGAGCGGCAGACGGGUGAGUAACACGUGGGGAUCUGCCCAAUGGUACGGAAUAGCUCGGGGAGACUGGAAUUAAUACCGUAUGUGCCCUUCGGGGGAAAGAUUUAUCGCCAUUGGAUGAACCCGCGUCGGAUUAGCUAGUUGGUGAGGUAAAGGCUCACCAAGGCGACGAUCCGUAGCUGGUCUGAGAGGAUGAUCAGACACACUGGGCCUGAGACACGGCCCAGACUCCUACGGGAGGCAGCAGUGGGGAAUAUUGGACAAUGGGCGCAAGCCUGAUCCAGCCAUGCCGCGUGAGUGAUGAAGGCCUUAGGGUUGUAAAGCUCUUUCGCCGACGAAGAUAAUGACGGUAGUCGGAGAAGAAGCCCCGGCUAACUUCGUGCCAGCAGCCGCAGUAAAAC
rnacentral:rRNA from 1 species